AGGCCAUGAACUCAUCAAUCACCCCUGGUGUGGACCACUUCUGGAGGCCCAAGACACCAACUUCUACAAAGAAGGGAUCCGUAUGCUCCACGACCGCUGGACUAAGUGUAACACCUGGAUGAGGCGGGACUAUGACAUCAGUAUAACAAGCUGCGACAGACCGCUGGACUUUCAGAGAGAAGGAGAGAGAGAGAGAGAAAGAGAGAGAGCAAGAGAGAGAAAAAAAAGAAAAAAAGUAAGUUUUGAACCGCAAUCUGCAGGCAGGAGCCUGCUGCAGCAAUUGGUAAAGUCUAGUACUUUCCCAUGUCCAAAGGAUUGGAUUGGAUUGCACAUUGGAUGUGUGACUGUCACUUCGUAUGAUCCAUACGUGGAUUUAGUUGGAGUAUCCCGUGGCAACCACUUUUGUUAACCCUUACCUGGUUCUGGGUAUGUGGUAACCGCUUGUGUCAGGGUAUAUUCUGUGACUGUCACCUUGUGAUGUUUCUAUGUGGAUUUCAAGACAACUCGACGGAUAAGAACUUUGGUGACUGUUACUUCGUUUUCCCAGCGUGGAAGCUGUGGAAUUCUUUGCAAUCUCCUCCUCUCUACAUUUUAACAUUGAUUUACCAGUCCCUCCCCUCAUUUAUUCUGUGGAUUACUGGACCUUUCUAGUUUGCCAUCUUAAGACUUUUGGGAGUCAGUUUGGGAGUCACACACACAUAACACUGCUAAUUCUGUUUAUUUUGUUUAAUUUUAUAUAUUUUUGAGUAGAUACUAAUAAAUAUAGUGGUUUUAACAUUAAAACCUGACUCAAUUUGUGAUCUAUUGCUGCUGGUACAUAAAAUAAAUUGGGGGCUCAUCCGGGAUUUUAACAAAUUGGAACUGAUUUAUUGAUUUGAUUGAUUACUUCCCUUUUGAUUUCCUUGUGUGUGAAAACCAGCAGCAAUAGAUAUUGAUGAAUUCCUGAUGUCACCAACCUCUGAGGCAUUAGAGGAAGCCAGAAAGAAAGAGUUGUUGGUCCCUGUUAAUUAGCUGGACCUUAUUAUGGUAAAGCUGACUCUGAGAAAGGCAGAGAUUCAGGGGAGAAUAGCUGAGCACUAUGUAUCUACGGGGGUGUUUAAAGAGAUGGCUGCUAGAAACGGAGGAAAGAGAAAAAGAAAGGCUAGAGAAGGAGCUAGAGAAGCUGAAAUAUGUAGAUCAAACUUCUGGCUCUAGUGACAGGCUUGUUGCCAGUCAGGAAAUUAGAAUGGUUCCUCCAUUUGAUGAAGCCAAGAUUGAUAAAUACUUCCAGCAUUUUGUAAAAGUUUGUCAGAGCCUACGGUGGCCAAGAGAGUGUUGCCCUCUCCUGUUGCAGAGUGUAAUUAAAGGUAAGGCUCAGCAGGCUUAUUCUGCCCUAUCCAUUGAAGAUGCAGCUGACUAUGGGACAGUAAAACAGGCUGUGCUUAAAGCUUGAGUUGGUUCCAGAGGCCUAUAGGCAAAGGUUUAGGAAUUUGAGAAAAUCUGUGAGCCAGAUUCAUGUGGAAUUUGCUUAUGAAAAGUCUGUGUGUUUUAAACGUUGGUGCACAUCUCAAACUGCGAACGAUGAUUAUGACAAAUUGAAGGAGUUGACUCUAAUUGAAGAGUUUAAAAGGUGCAUCCAUGAUGAUAUAAAGACAUAAUUAGAUGAGAAGGAUGCUGCAACUUUACAAGAAUCUGCUAAGUUAGCAAAUGAGUUUGCUCUAACCCACUAGUCGAAGUUUGUACCGUAAGACAUUCCAAAAGAAUAGCAUGGAUAAUCAGAGUAAACCAGAAAUCAAAUCUGGGAAUAGUGACAAAGGUAAGGAUGAAGGGAAGCAAUUAAAGGAAAAACAUUCUGGUCCUACUUGUCACUAUUGUUAUUGGAGUAUAAAAAUAUUAUGGAGUAUAAAACUUGUAUCAUUUGCUGUGUAACUAGUCAGUUUGCUAUGCAUGUACUCAUUUUAGGAGACUGAAGUCUUAGGAAUGUAGAAGACAAUGAUGUGUUAAUGAGAGGUAGCUAAUGUAAAGAGGGUUUCUUCUUUUUGUUAACUAGCAGGAAUGCUAAUUUACUGAUAACGAGAAUGGUAUUCCUUUGUAAACCAAAUGGGGAUUAAUGUUCUUUCUUCUGAGUCUGUAAGCUUUUGUUGACGGGCUUUUGGGCAGAUCGGCGCGAGGGGGUCGAGAGAGAGGACACAAUGCUCUAAGCUGGGCGAGGAUCGGACCCCAAAGGGGGGUCCAAGGCCGGGAGAUUCUCCGAGGAGGGGGGGGGAUGAAGCUAGAUGUGCUUGGUUGACCACUCGGAGGGUCCUGAGCUGUUUGGAGAGUCGAGGAGUUCGGAGGGUCCUGAGCUGCGAGUCGAGGAGUUCGGAGGGGAUCGAAUGGUGGCCAGAAGACUUCAGUAAUUGAGCUCCAACAGCUGUGCACGAAGUGGUUUGGACUUUGAUAAGUUUGGCGCCUUUUCUUUAAUUUUCUCUUCAUAUAUACUGUAUCGUUAUUAAUCACUUAGUUAUAGUAACCUUUAUAAAUUGUACUCAUUUAAUCGCA